GACGAAGGGGGCUAGCGUUGUUCGGAAUUACUGGGCGUAAAGCGAGUGUAGGUGGUUUUCCAAGUUGGAUGUGAAAGCCUUGAGCUCAACUCAAGAAAUGCAUUCAGGACUGGGAGACUAGAGGACCGGAGAGGAUAGUGGAAUUCCCAGUGUAGUGGUGAAAUACGUAGAGAUUGGGAAGAACACCAGUGGCGAAGGCGGCUAUCUGGACACAUAUUGACGCUGAGGUGCGAAAGCGUGGGGAGCAAACAGG
rnacentral:rRNA from 1 species